AUUUAUUAUCACAGAUUAAAUUACUAAUAAUAUAUUAAAAGAAAUUUUUGUACUAAUCAUAUCAGUGUAUAUAACUUAAAUAACUUAAAUCCAAUUUGAUAACGAGAACAACACGGAAUCAACAAAAAAGCUAGAUCUUUACCCACCAGCAAAAAAGAAACUAAUUUACAGCAUUAAUUAGGACAUCACAUCUGAAAUUACCAAAACAAACAAAAUCAAACAAUUAAAUUAACAUAAUUACAUAGAAAUUACUCCAAAUUAACCUUGCAGUAAGCACAGAAACAGUUCUUAUCAUUUUACUCAUAUUCACCGUCAAUAUAAUUAGGAAAAACCAUUCCACAAAAUGUACCUGUAUAAAUUAAGUGCACAAAUCAAGGUUUAUCAGCUAUUCAGCAAAAAAGGAAGUCAGAUCAAAUUAAAGGCAA
rnacentral:lncRNA from 1 species